AUUUUCCCCCAAGGAUGACCUGAUGGCUCACUUCUGAAUACCUUAGGGCUUAAUGUUCGCCAGGGAUGCUUCACAGGUGUGGAAAUGGAGGCUCAGAGAGAGAGACUGACUUGUUCUGGUUCCCUGCCCAGCAAGAGGAAGGUCGGGGCUCGAACUCAAGUCUGUCUCCAUGACCCCAGCGCUGCUGUGUCGUGCCGGAUUCUCCAACCCUAUCUUGGCAGUGAAGCAAGUGACAUGGAUUCUCUCCAACCACCUAAGUAUUUCGUUUUAUGAAGAGAUGAGUUUUGACCUGGUGCUGCUAUAAGCUUCCUCAGUCAGGAAGCUCUGCCUGUCCAGGAUUUCCUGUGUGUGGGAAAGAAACAGGAUGAGCAGAUUAAUCCUCCAUGGCUUUUAAAAAAAAAAGUACAUGAGGCCCUCCUUCUGGCAGAGGAAUGGGCUGGAGCAAAGUCCCUGAGGCAGCAAGAAGGAAUCCUAGAGAAACCAUCUCUGCUGG